GGUGAUACCAUCUAGGCUUGUACAAGUACAUGAUGUGAUGUUUUCACAAAGACAAAUUGCAUAAAAAAUGCAUCUUUCAGAAUGUACCCUAUCUUUAAGCAAUUUAUGACAAUAAUUCCAGUAGCCGUGCAUGUACUAAGUGAAGGGAAAUGGUUAAGCACCUUGCUGCUGAGCCUGGAUUAUUCUGACAGGCAAGGUAAAUACAUGAGGUCAAUACACAGGUUUUUGUUACUAAAAUUUUCAGAACUAGUUUGAAUAUAAAUCAACAAGACCUCUGGAAUCUGGGAAAUUUAUGUGUUUGUCUGUAGGAGGUCUAGUCUUUUGGUUUUGUUUUACUUCAUCAUUUUAUUUUAAAGAAUAAACUUUUCGCCAUUUAAGUCUAAUGACAAUGACAGCUGAACCAAACAGUGCCACCCACUUGGUGGAAGAUAGCCUCCUUUGCUGGGGCACAGGAGUACACAUUUGGCAUGUCUUUCCUCAACCUUAAGUUUGGAAUGUCUGAGAGUCUCCCUCACUCCAAUAAUCAAGCUAAAAUGGAAAGUGGCUACUUUGCUCUUCAUAUUUGUCUUUCUUGCCAUUUGUAUUAGUGCUUAACAAAACCAGGUCCCAUUCACCUCAAAAAUUAUUCUGAGAUAAGACUUCUGAUCGCCUUAUUCUUUCUCCCAGGAUUCUCCUGCAGACUACAUUUUCUUAGACAUAAUUUUCUUCAGGGAAGUUGCUACAUUUAUUCAUUUGUAUUCCCAGCAUUUUAUGCAGCAUCUAAUACACAGUAAGUCUUCUUUAACUGUUUGGUGGUUGAGUGACUAAAUAACCAAGUGAGCUUCCUAACUUUUCUCAUUGCUUGGUGGUCCUGCUCAGAUCUCAUUAAAGGCUGAUUACAGUCUCUCACUGAAAAAUGUUAAUUUCAACAUCACAGAUUUCAUAUUGAAAACUCACUUACUCAAUAAAAUUCAUUUCAACCACAAAAUCAAUACUCAGAUGCUUUCAAGGUCAUCUAUGGACCCAUGCUGAGCAGCAAAACCUGUUUCACCCAAUAUGCACGUGCAAGCCGAGGUUGAGUAGAGUCACACCAACGUGUCCUCACACAGCAGAAGGCAGAAAGGCAAAAGGGGCAAACUCCCUCCAUCAAGCCAUUUUAUAAGGAGGCCUCAUCCCAUCCACAAAACAGGAACCCUCAUGAACUGGCUCAAUAGCAGAAAGAUCAGAAGAGUAAAGGGAAGGGAAGGGAAUGGGGAGGGAGGAGUGUGAUGAGACAGAAAUCUUGACUAUAGUGACUCCAUUUUGUGAAAUAGCCAUGCCAACUAGCAAGGUCAUGACUGGGGCACGUUGUUUUUCCUUUUGUUGUGGAAACCCUCAAGAACACAGAACUAUCUAACUGGGCUCUGUUUCUGUAACUAGGGUAACUGGGCUCUGUUUCUGAACCUGGGAUAACUGGGCUCAUGAUUGGCUAAGCCUCCUGCCGCCUGACUGCAAUCUCCCGCUUCUGUAACUUGGCUUCCUUGCAUUGGCUAAACCCCCUAACAUCCCUUUUGUGUUUUUUUGGCUUAAAUAUGAGGCCAAACUGAAGGAGGUGCACCACUCUGACCAUCUCACUUUUAGAGAGUACAGUGUCUGAUGCUGGCCAGCAAUAAAGGCUUAAUUGGAAUGGCAAUGUGUGGUAUGAGAGUUAUUUGAGGGUCUCAGUAUCAGUAUAACAAGAGGGGAGGGAAAAGAGAUGUUCU
rnacentral:lncRNA from 1 species